GAACCGUCCAAACGUUUAUUCGGAAUCACUGGGCUUAAAGGGUACGUAGGCGGCUUGGAAAGUUGGGUGUGAAAUCCCUCGGCUCAACCGAGGAACUGCACUCAAAACUACCAGGCUUGAGGGAGACAGAGGUGAGCGGAACUCAGGGUGGAGCGGUGGAAUGCGUUGAUAUCCUGGGGAACACCAGUUGCGAAGGCGGCUCACUGGGUCUCUUCUGACGCUGAGGUACGAAAGCUAGGGGAGCGAACGGGAUUAGAUACCCCGGGUAGUCCUAGCUGUAAACGUUGAGCACUGGAUCGGAGGAUUUCGGUUUUCCGGUCGUAGCGAAAGUGUUAAGUGCUCCGCUGGGGAGUAUGGUCGCAAGGCUG
rnacentral:rRNA from 1 species